rnacentral:rRNA from 1 species
AGAGUUUGAUCCCUGCUCAGAACGAACGCUGGCGGCAUGCCUAACACAUGCAAGUCGAACGAAGCCUUCGGGCUUAGUGGCGCACGGGUGCGUAACGCGUGGGAACCUGCCUUUAGGUUCGGAAUAACAGUUAGAAAUGACUGCUAAUACCGGAUGAUGUCUUCGGACCAAAGAUUUAUCGCCUUUAGAUGGGCCCGCGUUGGAUUAGAUAGUUGGUGGGGUAAUGGCCUACCAAGUCGACGAUCCAUAGCUGGUCUGAGAGGAUGAUCAGCCACACUGGGACUGAGACACGGCCCAGACUCCUACGGGAGGCAGCAGUGGGGAAUAUUGGACAAUGGGCGAAAGCCUGAUCCAGCAAUGCCGCGUGAGUGAUGAAGGCCUUAGGGUUGUAAAGCUCUUUUACCAGGGAUGAUAAUGACAGUACCCUGGAGAAUAAGCUCCGGCUAACUCCGUGCCAGCAGCCGCGGUAAUAC